UGGGGAAUUUUGCACAAUGGGGGAAACCCUGAUGCAGCGACGCCGCGUGAUUUAGAAGGCCUUCGGGUUGUAAAAAUCUUUUCUAUGGGAAGAAAAUGACAGUACCAUAGGAAUAAGGACCGGCUAAUUACGUGCCAGCAGCCGCGGUAAUACGUAAGGUUCGAGCGUUGUCCGGAAUCAUUGGGCGUAAAGGGUACGUAGGCGGGUAAGCAAGUUAGAAGUGAAAUCCUAUAGCUCAACUAUAGUAAGCUUUUAAAACUGCUCAUCUUGAGGUAUGGAAGGGAAAGUGGAAUUCCUAGUGUAGCGGUGAAAUGCGCAGAUAUUAGGAGGAAUACCGGUGGCGAAGGCGACUUUCUGGCCAUAACCUGACGCUGAGGUACGAAAGCGUGGGUAGCAAACAGG
rnacentral:rRNA from 1 species